rnacentral:rRNA from 1 species
GUGGGGAAUUUUGCACAAUGGGGGAAACCCUGAUGCAGCGACACCUCGUGAGUGAUGAAGCCUUUAGGGGUGUAAAGCUCUGUCGGCAGGGAAGAUUAUGACGGUACCUGCAGAGGAAGCUCCGGCUAACUACGUGCCAGCAGCCGCGGUAAUACGUAGGGAGCAAGCGUUGUCCGGAUUUAUUGGGCGUAAAGCGUGCGUAGGUGGUUUUGUAAGUUAGGUGUUAAAUGCAUGGGCUCAACCCGUGUUCGCGCUUAAUACUGCAAGACUAGAGGAUAGGAGAGGAAAGUGGAACUAACAGUGUAGCGGUGAAAUGCGUAGAUAUUGUUAGGAACACCAGUGGCGAAGGCGACUUUCUGGACUAUAUCUGACACUGAGGUACGAAAGCGUGGGGAGCAAACAGGAUUAGAUACCCCUGUAGUCC